GCCAGCGUGGCAUAGUGGUUUGAGUGUUGGACUAUCACUCCGGAGCUCAGGGUUCAAAUCCCAACUAGAGCA